ensembl:lncRNA
AUGAACGAUGGGAGCCGAGUCGCGGCUGGAGGGGAGCCGUUCUUUCUGUCGUUCUUUUUUCCUAUGCGUGUUUCACACAGAUGCACACAAAUGAGCUCCUCCGCGAGACAGAACAGUUAUAGGGGGAGGGGCGCACCCAGCGCAGAUAAUGUUCUUGUGUGGAAGUGUUUGUAGUAAAAGCUGUUUUGCACAGAAAUUCAUUGCAGCUGGCUUUGUUUUUUAUGUUUAUUUGUGAGUAGGUAUUGUAUGAAUAACAUAAGUCAACGUAGCUUUACACACACACACACACACACACACACACACACUUUGUACUAAAGGUAAAUCCAAAAUAGUGAUGUCACUGUCUAAGCAGAGGGAUUUGUGCAACCCUAUGGAAUAUAGUCCACACAUGACAAAUGAGGUAAUAAUCAAUAUUUCAGAAUAAUUCAAACUCAGAUAUUGGUGUGUGAUAUCUGAGUUUUAAUUAUUUGACUACAAAUCUCACCUCAUCAUUCCUCCCAGUGAUUAUUUCCAGGAUAAACUGAGAUGCCCCCAAGCUGGCUUCUUAAAACUGACUAAAUAUUUAAAAAGAGCCAAAAGAGCCGUUCUUUUGAACGGCUCUUUGAAAGGAACGGAUCGCGAAGAUCCGGAUCCCCUCAAAGAGCCAUAAAUCCCAUCACUACUCUGAGCGAACUCUCUACUCCUCACCACGGCGCGUCUCGGGUGCUGCGCUAAUCACUCCGCCCAAGUAGCCGCUCCGCCCAAGUAACGUUAGCUGUGCUCCUACGCCUAGUGAGAAUAUAGUUCCCAGUAUUUAUACGAUUAAAAAUGGUCUCUGUCUCAUAUAGCCUUGUUAUUUGUACACGCUGUGACUAUACAGAUCACAACAUGUAAAUAGGAAAAUGUUUGCAUUAUUUUGUCACUUAUUGGGAUUACUAUGCUACCAUUAUCCAUUUACAUCCAGUCUUUGUGCUAAGCUAGGCUAGCGGUGGGUGCGUCAAAUAACACUUACAGAACGCACAGAAAUGAAAAAGGUAUGUAUGGACUUAUCUAACUCUGGGGGAUAUUGUGAAUAAGCUAAAGUCCCAAAAAGUCGGAGUGUUCCUUUAAUGUAUUUGUCUUGGCAGAAUAGAUCUACACUGCUCCUGCUUAUUUGCUGCUGCUGUUGGUUAUUGCCGUUGUUAUAGAUUAUUGCUGCUGCUGCUGCUCGAUACGGUGCUGUGAGUAUUUAGGACAUACUGGUGCUGCUAAUAACCCAUAGCAGAUCUAUACAGGUGGAGCUGGGGAAGGUGGAGGGUUUCAGAGGAAUUCUUAAAGCAUGCUGUGAAAUGCUCUAGUGUAUGCUAACUAGCCAUUUAAAUGUAAAGCAGUAAACUCAUUGGCUGCGUAUGUGAGAUGAACCAAUCAGCUUGUGCCAAGUAGUUUAAUGCUGUGAUAUCAUCAAUUUGCCUUAACAACCCAUCAGUCAUUAGCAUUCAUCUAGAGUUUCAUGACAGAACUUAGUGUUCAUUUAGUUAUGGGAGAAACUGUGAAUCAGUUAAACCAAUUGCUUUGCAAAAUGAUUUGUGGUUUUGAAAAUUGCUAAUUGCAAAUGUUUUCUUAUUGUGUCAUCUAUUAAAUGCAAUUUACAAAUCAUCCUGUACCAUUUAACUUGAAGUGUCUGGAAUCGUUUAUUAAUUUGUAGGGCUUGUUUUCUGUGUAUAGUGUAUAAAAUUAGGCAAUUUAGUGUCUAAAAUGUAUGUUACUCAAUAUUACUUCAUCUAUUGUAUGACAGCAAUAUUCACUGCU